CUUUCUCUAAUCAUGAAUCUUUCUUUUCCAUUAACUAUCAUCAGUGUGUUUGUUUCUCUAAUUUUUCUCCUUCGUGCAUUUGUUCGAAAAGCUGCUGUUGUAGGUUCCAAGUCUAGAGAGGCCCCUGAACCUGCUGGUGCAUGGCCAAUUAUAGGCCACCUCCACCUUCUAGGUGGCGGAGACCAGCUUCUCUACCGUACGCUUGGAGCAAUGGCUGACAAGUACGGCUCAGCUUUCAACAUCAGGCUAGGCAGCCGCCGUGCUUUUGUGGUGAGCAGCUGGGAAGUAGCAAAAGAGUGCUUCACAUUCAAUGACAAGGCACUUGCUUCUCGACCCACCACGGUGGCUGCCAAACACAUGGGCUACAACUAUGCCGUGUUUGGCUUCGCACCCUACAGCCCAUUUUGGCGUGAGAUGAGGAAGAUUGCAACCAUUGAGCUUCUCUCAAACCGUAGGCUUGAGAUGCUCAAACAUGUCAGGACAUCAGAACUUGACACCGGGAUAAAAGAGCUACAAAAUUUAUGGGUCCAAAAUGGAUCGUCACGUCCCGUGGUUGUUGAGCUCAAUCGUUGGCUAGAGGAAUUGACACUUAAUGUUGUGGUCAGGAUGGUGGCUGGGAAACGUUACUUUGGUGCCUCAGCAAAAUGUGACGAUGGCGAUGAGGCGAGGCGGUGUCAGAAGGCAAUUGGCCAGUUUUUUCAUCUGAUUGGGAUUUUUGUUGUUUCGGAUGCGCUGCCGUUUCUAUGGUGGUUGGAUUUGCAGGGGCAUGAGAAGGCAAUGAAGAAGACGGCUAAAGACUUGGAUGCCAUACUCGGAGGGUGGCUGGAUGAGCAUCGCCAAAGGAGAGUACUUUCUCAUGAAAAAGGGAAGACUGAAGCUGAUGAGGACUUCAUUGAUGUCAUGUUGUCUCUUCAGGAGGAAGGACAACUCUCAAAUUUUCAGCAUAGUUCAGAUACCAGCAUCAAGUCCACCUGCCUGGCGAUUAUCCUUGGUGGGAGUGACACCACAGCAGGCACUCUAACAUGGGCAAUCUCACUACUCUUGAACAAUCCCCAUGUGAUGAAGAAGGCACAAGAAGAGUUAGAGCUCCAAGUUGGAACAGAAAGGCAAGUUGACGAAUCAGACAUCAAAAACUUGGUAUAUCUUCAAGCCAUCAUCAAGGAAACGCUGCGUUUAUACCCAGCUGGGCCCCUCUUAGGACCAAGAGAAGCUCUAGAAGACUGCACCGUAGCCGGCUACCAUGUCCCGGCAGGCACCAGAUUGGUGGUAAACGUAUGGAAGAUUCAAAGGGACCCAAGUGUUUGGGAAAACCCAUCUGCUUUUGAACCAGAGAGGUUCUUGACAAGCCAUGGCCAUGUUGAUGUUAGAGGUCAACAGUUUGAGUUGAUGCCAUUUGGCUCUGGCAGAAGGUCGUGCCCUGGUGUCUCGUUUGCCAUGCAAGUCCUUCACCUCACGCUUGCUCGUCUGCUUCAUGCAUUUGAGUUUGAAACCCCGCUUGGUCAACGGAUUGACAUGACUGAGAGUCCAGGUUUGACCAUUCCGAAAGCGACUCCAUUAGAGGUUCUGCUCACCCCACGCCUUCCUGGUAAUCUCUAUCUGUGAUGAAGCGUUUGAAUAAAGUAUAAAAAUGUACUGUUUGUUGAUUAAUUUAGAGGUUCUUCAAAUGUACAAGUAUAUAUAAGCUAAGAUUGUGAGGCCCAUUUAUGUUAUGAGAGUUUGAUUAUAUGUGGAUCCAUCGGACAUUGCAGCCCAUAAGAUUCAAUCAGGAAAGAAAUGCACUAUAAUCUUCACCAAAAGGAAAAAGAAAUGGAUUAUAAUUGAGUCCAA